rnacentral:lncRNA from 1 species
AUGAUCAACAUAUUGAAGGCAGAUUUCACACUAGAUCCUGAAACUGCCCACCCCAAUUUUAUCAUAUUAGAAGAGAGAAAUAUAUGACGUAUGGGAGAAUGAAACCAAACUUUUCUUACAACCUAUACUGAUUUUCUUCUCACCUCACUAUCCUGAGCGCUGGAGGAUUUGAUGCUGGCAGGCAUCACUGGCAGGAAGAAGUAAGAAACACAGGACACCGGGCUACAGGAGUGUGCAGGGAGUCUCUUCAGCGAUGCUCUGACAUCAGCAUCACUCAGUGAGGGCUAGUGGCAAGUUCAGCUCUAGAUUAGUCCAUGUGGCACAAGGGACACGGGAGGACUGGCGCACGUUGACAUUUUUUCUGGAUUUUGCGUUUGGAAAGGUUUCAUUCUACAAUAAUAACAAUAGACUCCAAAUGUAUACCUUCCCUGAUACUUUUACAGAAAACCUUUGGCCUUAUAUCACUACUACACCUACUUCAAAUAUUUUACAGUCUGUGGAAUCUAAGAUGAAUGAUGAAUGA